rnacentral:rRNA from 1 species
UACACUCCUGCGGGAGGCAGCAGUGGGGAAUUUUGGACAAUGGGCGAAAGCCUGAUCCAGCAAUGCCGCGUGUGUGAAGAAGGCCUUCGGGUUGUAAAGCACUUUUGUCCGGAAAGAAAUCCUUGGCUCUAAUACAGUCGGGGGAUGACGGUACCGGAAGAAUAAGCACCGGCUAACUACGUGCCAGCAGCCGCGGUAAUACGUAGGGUGCGAGCGUUAAUCGGAAUUACUGGGCGUAAAGCGUGCGCAGGCGGUUUGCUAAGACCGAUGUGAAAUCCCCGGGCUCAACCUGGGAACUGCAUUGGUGACUGGCAGGCUAGAGUAUGGCAGAGGGGGGUAGAAUUCCACGUGUAGCAGUGAAAUGCGUAGAGAUGUGGAGGAAUACCGAUGGCGAAGGCAGCCCCCUGGGCCAAUACUGACGCUCAUGCACGAAAGCGUGGGGAGCAAACAGGAUUAGAUACCCUGGUAGUCCCAU